AAUCCGUCGAUUUUAAAAAUCGUGAGGGUUCAAGUCCCU
rnacentral:tRNA from 1 species